UCCCUUUCUGAAUUCAUAUGAUGAAGAUCAGGGAUCCAAACUUAUUCAAAAAGCUAAAGAGGCACCAUUCGUACUUGUUGGAAUAGAAGGUUUUGCAGCAAUUGUUGCAUAUGGAUUAUACAAAUUGAAGAGCAGGGGAAAUACUAAAAUGUCCCUUCAUCUGAUCCACAUGGGUGUGGCAGCCCAAGGCUUUGUUGUAGGAGCAAUGACUGUUGUUAUAUCAUGUAUCGAGAAUUCUGGGCAAAACCUAAGCCUUAG
rnacentral:lncRNA from 1 species